AACGAACGCUGGCGGCAUGCCUAACACAUGCAAGUCGAACGAGAUCUUCGGGUCUAGUGGCGCACGGGUGCGUAACGCGUGGGAAUCUGCCCUUUGGUUCGGAAUAACAGGUGGAAACGACUGCUAAUACCGGAUGAUGACGAAAGUCCAAAGAUUUAUCGCCAGAGGAUGAGCCCGCGUAGGAUUAGCUAGUUGGUGUGGUAAAGGUGCACCAAGGCGUCGAUCCUUAGCUGGUCUGAGAGGAUGAUCAGCCACACUGGGACUGAGACACGGCCCAGACUCCUACGGGAGGCAGCAGUGGGGAAUAUUGGACAAUGGGCGAAAGCCUGAUCCAGCAAUGCCGCGUGAGUGAUGAAGGCCUUAGGGUUGUAAAGCUCUUUUACCCGGGAUGAUAAUGACAGUACCGGGAGAAUAAGCUCCGGCUAACUCCGUGCCAGCCGCCGCGGUAA
rnacentral:rRNA from 1 species